GGGCCAAAAAAAAGAGUAGCAUUUGACAUUGGAAAAAAAAAGUGAGAAAGGGUAUACGCAAGUAUGACAUAAGGAGAGAGAAAGAAGCCAAAGAGCGAAUUGGAGGAGUCAUGUGAAAGGAUAGCAUCCAUCCCUCUGCGGCGUCAAUCGAUUCCAGUUCAAGCAACACAAGGCAAGACAACGUUAACGUAUGCAGAGGUCGUGGAGUGGUAGUGGCAGUGUUUGGCGGAAGAAACCAUCCUUGGACUUGGACUUGGACAUGGACACCGACCAACACCUACCCACAUACGAUCCCCUCUCCCACGUUGCCCAGAGACACCUCUCUCGUCUCAGAUCAGCACAAAACGCUGUCCAUCUCAUCCCUCUCCUCGUUCUCUUCUGCGCCGUCGUUCUCUGGUUCUUCUCUGCUCCAACCUCUCCGCCAUAUCAUCAUUAAAGAUUUCUAUUUCGGACUAUGGUCAACGCCUGCAUAAAAAUUGCUGCUCUGUCUUUCCUUCACUUUUCACGACGCUCUCAGCAACGACGAACAAUACCUGAACUGCUUACGGAAUCCUCUGUUUAUUAGAUUGUCUUUCAAUAGAUUGCUUGUAUGUUUAUUCAUCCUCAACCCUCUUCAAUUUUUACUCUAUUACACGACUUUGUUGAAUCCUCCUGACUUAAGCGGAGAGCAAAUUAUAGUGAUUAUAGACAAAUUAAUUAUGUGAUUAGUUUUACAAAAAGAAAAGAAUAUACCUGCGGGUUAACAUGAUUGCUAUGUCCGAGAAAUUUAGGGGUAAAAGUUAAUGUUUAUUUUGGUUGAUUUCAAGUGUUUUGGAAUGCAACUAUUUUAGUGUUACUGUUUUAUGAUAUCAGAGGAGUUCUUUCCUAAUAACAAUAAAUUUGAGUGAUUCCACUGUUAAUCUGUAUUAAUUGGUAAAAAUACACUAGAUUUUUUUUUUUGGCAAGCCAAUCAUAAAGGGAGAAGUUCCCAGAAAGCAUUUAAUGUACUCAUUUAAGAUUGGAUUAUGCUGUGAUUAUAACCUAUUGAAUGAUGAACAUAAAGAUCUCUCUUUUUAUACCCAUUGAAUGCAGUGUGUACAUAUAUUGCAGAUUGAACAGAAAUGAAACUAUAUAGUUUAUUCUUCGUCAAUACACAAUCUUUCAAUGUGGUUGCCAUUGCUUUGCUUUUCUUCUUUAUAGACUCUCACAAGUAAAAUUUGUAUGCUCCAGUAAUGGCUGGAGUCUGACUAGCUUAGGUAUGACAAUAUUGUUCCUGACAGAACACACCACUGGGUUCUCCCACUGCAAAGCGGAACCCACAAGGUUUGCACGUAUGGUUAGUGGAAACACACGGGGCCAUCUUUCAGCGCCAUAGGACCUGAAGGCUUCUUCCACAGAAGGGUCUUCAGACUUGAUUGCUCUGGCAAGCUUUUUGGCAAGAACCACUGAGUCUUCCAGUGCACAACAAGCUCCUUGCCCGAGAUUUGGGGUCAUUGGAUGCCACGCAUCUCCAACCACCACAACUCUUCCAGCAGAAGCACCUGGGCUUAUGGCUGGCCAGAGCCAUCUGUCUACCAAUGGAGUCUUGAUCACAGUAUCAUCUGGUGUAGAAUCCACUAUGUUCAAUAGCUCUGAAGGCCAAUCCUUCACUAGUUCCUUAGCUUGGUUCUUCAGCACCAUUGAGUCUGUUAUUUUUGGACCUGUCAUCGAACAUACACAAUUUUUUUCCAUGAGAUGAUGGUAUAUCAUACUAGUUGCAAUUACAAAGUCAGUGAUUUAACCGUGCAUUUUGUUCGUAUUAACAACCUGGAGAGGGACUAUUGAAGCAGAUGAACCAGUAAACUUUGGUCGGAGAAACAGGAACAAAGCCCGCGCGCAACCCUCUUCCGUAGAUAUAAUUCACUCUUGGUCCAAAAGGUUGUCCAUCAGAAUAAGACGCAAGUCCUCGGAAAGCACAGUGACCAACGUACUUGGGCUCAGGAAAUCCCAUCCAUUUGGCUAUAGGUGAUCGAAUUCCAUCGCACCCUAUCACAGUCUGUUUAGAGAUUAAAUCGUUUUUCUGUUCAUAAUCGACCAUUCUGUCUUAAGUUCCAACAUUUAGUAAAUCAUAGGACACUGUAACACUAAGAUUUUAAUUGUGGCCAGUCAUUUCAUUAACUAAACAUGUGAUGAAUGAUGUCCACUGCAUGCAGCUAGAAAAUUUAGUGCUAUGCUAAUAGUUACAGCACCUUGACUAACCUUUGCAAGCAGCUUUGACCCAUCCACAAGUUCCAACAAGGUAUCCCCGUUUGAAGUGGCUUCAAUGUUUGCUAAUUGUGAAGAAAAUUGAAUGGUAUCCCGUGGUAGCUGACUAGCCAAGGUUUCCAAAAGCACUUUCCUCUCCACUGCACGUACCUCUUGACUGCAUUUCAUGACUUAAUAUUGGUCCUCACUUAUGCUUACGGCCUUAUCAUACCAAUAACCAGUGCUUGAUGACAAUUACAAAUUGCUCGUAGUUCCCUCCCAUCCUCGGACUUCACCACCAUCCUGUACAGCUGAUAAUGUGAACCAGAUCAAGCUCAGCCGGUAUACAGAUUAAAAAUGAUGAAAUUUUUCAAAAGGGUGUUCAUGUAUGCAUCCACGUACCCUUGAAUUUCUAAGAACUGAGUUCUGAGAUCAUCAGCUACUCCAAUUGCAUCGAGUACCCUCCAUCCAUUUUUGAAAAGGGUCAGUGAGGUUCCACCGGUUCGAAGUGACUCUGCCUGCUCCAGAACCAGGGACUGAACUCCAAGCCUGAUGCAUAAAUCAAACAUUAGCCCAGCACAGUGAAUAAACAAGAUGGUGGCUAUGAAGAGAGCUGGAAUUGUAACCUGUGAAGGGAGAGAGCAGUUGCAAGGCCUGCGAUCCCAGCACCCACGAUCACAACUUGUUCCUUUGGUACACCAGACUGAGAUUGAGCCUUGAUGACCCUGUAACUUCUGCGGGUUCCAAUUCCAUGUCCAAACCCAUCAAUGUUCCUGAAGACAAAGGACGAGGUUGUUGUAGCCAUAGAUGUUGUGAUAUGCUGUGAUAUGUUGAGAGAGGUACGCCAUAUUCAUCACGGUCGUGGGCGGAGAUAGGGGUGUGUAGUGUUCAGCCCUGGACCAUACAAACUAGUGGUGGAAAACAUCUCUUAUAAAAUGUACACUACCAGUCACAAUAUAGAUGUUUCUUAAAUUUCCAAAACUGCUACACAAAUGAUAAUAUUAUGUUUGA